rnacentral:misc_RNA from 1 species
UUUCCGUAGGUGAACCUGCGGAAGGAUCAUUAAAAAAUUGGACUCCAUUGGUGAGUUCAUUAAUAAUCCCUACCCUUUGUGAAUUUGUUUGUUUGAAUAAUUUUUUUUCCAAAAAAAAUUAUUGAAUGUCUUUCCUUGUUUUGGUGGAGCUUGUAAAGUGAAACCAGGCAGGGGAAUGGCAAACAAUAAUUAUUUUUGAAAAAGACCUUUUUUUAAAAUUAAACUUUUUGUAUUCAUUUGUCUAAAAUUAAUUUUUAUAAUAUAAAAACAACUUUUGACAAUGGAUCUCUUGGUUCUCGCAACGAUGAAGAACGCAGCAAAAUGCGAUAAGUAGUGUGAAUUGCAGAAUACGUGAAUCAUCGAAUCUUCGAACGCAUAUUGCACUUUUUUAGUUUACUAAAAAAGUAUGUCUGUUUGAGUAUCAGUAAAAUAUUCUCAUAAAAAACAUUGUUUUUUUUAUGGUUAUGAGUGUUUUACAACGAUAACAAGUUGUUUCACUUUAAAUUCUUUGUUAUCAAAAAAAUCAUUAAAAGCUAAUUUUAAAGAUUUUUUAAAAUUGGAUAAAAUUUUCCCGUAAAAAGGAAUAACCUAAACAAUUUUAAAAAAUUAAAAUUGGUUUGAUUUUUUUUGAAACCCAAAGGAAAAAAAAACGAAAUUAACUUGAUCUCAAAUCAGAUAAGAGUACCCGCUGAACUCAAGCAUAUCAAUAAGCGGAGGAAAAGAAACUAACUAGGAUUCCCUCAGUAACGGCGAGUGAAGCGGGAAGAGCUCAAAUUUGAAAUCUUCAAGGUUUUACCUUGACGAAUUGUAGUUUAAAGAAGUGUUUUCUGUUGGAGUUUUGGUAAAAGUUCUUUGGAAAAGGACAUCAUAGAGGGUGAGAAUCCCGUAUUUGACCAUUAUCUCCAGCUUUGUGAUACACUUUCAAAGAGUCGGAUUGUUUGGGAAUGCAGUCCAAAAUGGGUGGUAAAUUUCAUCUAAAGCUAAAUACUGGCGAGAGACCGAUAGCGGACAAGUACCGUGAGGGAAAGAUGAAAAGAACUUUGAAAAGAGAGUUAAACAGUACGUGAAAUUGUCAAAAGGGAAGCGUUUGACACCAGUGUUGUUUUCUCGAAAAUCGAUUAAAAAAGGCCGGAUUUUGUGUUGUAUUGACUUUAUCAGCUUUCUGCACUCUUUUCUUGUCUUUUUUAAUGCACUUUUCGUUUAACAAGUCAACAUCAAUUUCUUUUGUUGUAAAAGGGUCAUUGGAAGGUGGCUUUCUUUUCGGAGAAAGUGUUUAUAGCCUUUGGCCUCUGCAAUCGGAGAGAUUGAGGUCUGCAGCGUAGAUCCUUCGGGUUAGAUACAUUUGUGCUAAGUUAUAGCCUUUCAUAGACAACUUGUUGACUAUGAUCAGUCAUGUAGCUUACUCGCUUAUGCUAUUU